rnacentral:rRNA from 1 species
GGGUUGUGAGGUUAAGCGACUAAGCGUACACGGUGGAUGCCCUGGCAGUCAGAGGCGAUGAAGGACGUGCUAAUCUGCGAUAAGCGUCGGUAAGGUGAUAUGAACCGUUAUAACCGGCGAUUUCCGAAUGGGGAAACCCAGUGUGAUUCGUCACACUAUCAUUAACUGAAUCCAUAGGUUAAUGAGGCGAACCGGGGGAACUGAAACAUCUAAGUACCCCGAGGAAAAGAAAUCAACCGAGAUUCCCCCAGUAGCGGCGAGCGAACGGGGAGCAGCCCAGAGCCUGAAUCAGUGUGUGUGUUAGUGGAAGCGUCUGGAAAGGCGCGCGAUACAGGGUGACAGCCCCGUACACAAAAAUGCACAUGCUGUGAGCUCGAUGAGUAGGGCGGGACACGUGGUAUCCUGUCUGAAUAUGGGGGGACCAUCCUCCAAGGCUAAAUACUCCUGACUGACCGAUAGUGAACCAGUACCGUGAGGGAAAGGCGAAAAGAACCCCGGCGAGGGGAGUGAAAAAGAACCUGAAACCGUGUACGUACAAGCAGUGGGAGCCUCUUUAUGGGGUGACUGCGUACCUUUUGUAUAAUGGGUCAGCGACUUAUAUUCUGUAGCAAGGUUAACCGAAUAGGGGAGCCGAAGGGAAACCGAGUCUUAACUGGGCGUUAAGUUGCAGGGUAUAGACCCGAAACCCGGUGAUCUAGCCAUGGGCAGGUUGAAGGUUGGGUAACACUAACUGGAGGACCGAACCGACUAAUGUUGAAAAAUUAGCGGAUGACUUGUGGCUGGGGGUGAAAGGCCAAUCAAACCGGGAGAUAGCUGGUUCUCCCCGAAAGCUAUUUAGGUAGCGCCUCGUGAAUUCAUCUCCGGGGGUAGAGCACUGUUUCGGCAAGGGGGUCAUCCCGACUUACCAACCCGAUGCAAACUGCGAAUACCGGAGAAUGUUAUCACGGGAGACACACGGCGGGUGCUAACGUCCGUCGUGAAGAGGGAAACAACCCAGACCGCCAGCUAAGGUCCCAAAGUCAUGGUUAAGUGGGAAACGAUGUGGGAAGGCCCAGACAGCCAGGAUGUUGGCUUAGAAGCAGCCAUCAUUUAAAGAAAGCGUAAUAGCUCACUGGUCGAGUCGGCCUGCGCGGAAGAUGUAACGGGGCUAAACCAUGCACCGAAGCUGCGGCAGCGACACUUAUGUGUUGUUGGGUAGGGGAGCGUUCUGUAAGCCUGCGAAGGUGUACUGUGAGGUAUGCUGGAGGUAUCAGAAGUGCGAAUGCUGACAUAAGUAACGAUAAAGCGGGUGAAAAGCCCGCUCGCCGGAAGACCAAGGGUUCCUGUCCAACGUUAAUCGGGGCAGGGUGAGUCGACCCCUAAGGCGAGGCCGAAAGGCGUAGUCGAUGGGAAACAGGUUAAUAUUCCUGUACUUGGUGUUACUGCGAAGGGGGGACGGAGAAGGCUAUGUUGGCCGGGCGACGGUUGUCCCGGUUUAAGCGUGUAGGCUGGUUUUCCAGGCAAAUCCGGAAAAUCAAGGCUGAGGCGUGAUGACGAGGCACUACGGUGCUGAAGCAACAAAUGCCCUGCUUCCAGGAAAAGCCUCUAAGCAUCAGGUAACAUCAAAUCGUACCCCAAACCGACACAGGUGGUCAGGUAGAGAAUACCAAGGCGCUUGAGAGAACUCGGGUGAAGGAACUAGGCAAAAUGGUGCCGUAACUUCGGGAGAAGGCACGCUGAUAUGUAGGUGAAGUCCCUUGCGGAUGGAGCUGAAAUCAGUCGAAGAUACCAGCUGGCUGCAACUGUUUAUUAAAAACACAGCACUGUGCAAACACGAAAGU